ACCCGCUGAACUUAAGCAUAUCAAUAAGCGGAGGAAAAGAAACCAACAGGGAUUGCCUUAGUAACGGCGAGUGAAGCGGCAACAGCUCAAAUUUGAAAUCUGGCGUCUUUGGCGGCCGAGUUGUAAUUUGCAGAGAGCGCUCUGGCAUUGGCAGCGGUCCAAGUUUCUCGGAGCAGGACGUCACAGAGAGUGAGAAUCCCGCACGCGGGCGCUAGCCUCUACCGCGUGAAGCCCCUUCGACGAGUCGAGUUGUUUGGGAGUGCAGCUCUAAAUGGGAGGGAAAUUUCUUCUAUAGCUAUAUACUGUGCAGAGACCGAUAGCGCGCAAGUAGAGUGAUCGAGAGAUGAGAAGCGCUUCGUAAAGAGAGAUAAAAAGCACGCGAGAUUGUUGAAAGAGAAGCGCUCGCAGCCAGACUUGCCUGUAGUUGCUCAUCCGGGUUUUUACCCGGUGCACUCUUCUAUAGGCGGGCCAGCAUCAGUUUGGGCGGUUGGAUAAAGGUCUCUGUCAUGUACCUCUCUUCGGGGAGACCUUAUAGGGGAGACGACAUGCAACCAGCCCGGACUGAGGUCCGCGCAUCUGCUAGGAUGCUGGCGUAAUGGCUGU
rnacentral:rRNA from 1 species